rnacentral:rRNA from 1 species
GUGUCAGCAGCCGCGGUAAUACGAAGGGUGCGAGCGUUAAUCGGAAUUACUGGGCGUAAAGCGCGCGUAGGUGGUUUUGUAAGCGAAAUGUGAAAUCCCCGGGCUUAACCUGGGAACUGCAUGUCGAACUGCAAGGCUAGAGUAUAGUAGAGGAGUGUGGAAUUUCCUGUGUAGCGGUGAAAUGCGUAGAUAUAGGAAGGAACAUCAGUGGCGAAGGCGGCACUCUGGACUGAUACUGACACUGAGGCGCGAAAGCGUGGGUAGCGAACAGGAUUAGAAACCCCAGUAGUCC